CAGCAGCCGCGGUAAUACGGAGGGUGCAAGCGUUAAUCGGAAUUACUGGGCGUAAAGCGUGCGUAGGCGGUUCGUUAAGUCUGUUGUGAAAGCCCCGGGCUCAACCUGGGAAUGGCAAUGGAUACUGGCGAGCUAGAGUGUGUCAGAGGAUGGUGGAAUUCCCGGUGUAGCGGUGAAAUGCGUAGAGAUCGGGAGGAACACCAACGGCGAAAGCACUCUGCUGGGCCGACACUGACACUGAGAGACGAAAGCUAGGGGAGCAAAUGGGAUUAGAUACCCGCGUAGUCCCUGUCUCUUAUAC
rnacentral:rRNA from 1 species